UACGUAGGGUGCAAGCGUUAAUCGGAAUUACUGGGCGUAAAGCGUGCGCAGGCGGUGAUGUAAGACAGGUGUGAAAUCCCCGGGCUCAACCUGGGAACUGCAUUUGUGACUGCACAGCUGGAGUGCGGCAGAGGGGGAUGGAAUUCCGCGUGUAGCAGUGAAAUGCGUAGAUAUGCGGAGGAACACCGAUGGCGAAGGCAAUCCCCUGGACCUGUGACUGACGCUCAUGCACGAAAGCGUGGGGAGCAAA
rnacentral:rRNA from 1 species